GCGCCCGCCUGGCAGGACGACUGAGCAAGGCUUUGGAAAACCAGAGAGAUUAGAGCGGUGAGUUGCGCUGGUCACAUUGGAUACCUGCGCGUUAGGAGAUUCUGGAGCCAGACGGAGAGCCGAAUGGCCUUCGCCCGCCCUGCCCCUCUCUUGCUUCAGAAGCCCCCAGAAACUCCGCGGUCGGCGACCCAGCCCGAGCCGCCUGAGGUCCCAAGGGGAAGCUGAACGCCUGGAGAAUGGGGAAAUGGAGAGAGAACCUGAAAGAGCCCCAAACUCGAGGACCUAUUGCUCCCCAAGAAUAACAUCUUCCAGAACUAGACAGAAACUAAGCGUCUGGAAACCCUGAAAUCCUUGGAGGAGUAGCAUCAUCCUGACCCUCUGUGCUCCUUUUGGCAAAGGACUUGCUUCCAUUGUUUGUUUGUUCAAUUGUCUGUUUGUUAAAUAAAUAAAACUCUUUUCAUAUAUCUUUAAAAGUACGUUGGUUCUAUUAUUUUAUGAUUACAAACAAUGCUGCAGUCAUCAUUCUUCUACACUUGUCAUUGGCCACUGGUAUAUUUCCAUAGGGUGGAGGCCUGGAGAGCAGUUGUUCCAGCAUAGUGCUUACAUAGAUUUUAUUUCAUUCCGUUUUCUUUCCUUUGUUGCUUUAUUAGCUAUAACCCUUUUCUUAUUUCAGUGGCUGCUUUAGGGUUUCUGGGAUAUGUCUUUAAUUUAUCACAGUCUGCUUUCAGGUGUCAUUAUGUCUCCCUUUCUGGCCUUUAUCCUAGUGUUAUGUAAUUUUACUUUAUACAUUAUAAUCCUUGUGAUUCAUUAUUAUUACUUUUAUUUAUUACACCAAAUAUUUUUUAAAAGAUUUAAAUUCUAAGAAAAUGUGUAGUACAUGCUUUCUAAAUGCCAUUUCCAGUAUUCGUUUCUUUGUAUAGGCCCACAUUUUUAUCUGGUAUCCUUUUGCCUCUGCCUGGAGGACUUUUAAUAAGAUUUCUUGUAACGUGGGUUGGUGAAUUGUUUUAGCUUUUGUAUGUUUUUCGAUGUCCUUAUUUCACUCACAGUUUUGAAAUUUUAUUUUUGCAUAGAAUUCCAGGUUAACUUUUUUUCUCUGGGUACUUUAAAAAUGUUACCAUUUAUGAAGCAUUGCCAUUAUAAUAUCAUCUUUCUUUCCUGUGUUUGUAAGAAUGGCAUAAAGCCGGUUUCUUGCGGUGGUUAUAUAAUUUUCAGAAUGUGUACUUAAAUUUAAAAUAUUAAAUUUUACUA
rnacentral:lncRNA from 1 species